rnacentral:lncRNA from 1 species
CCUCUCCUUCAAGCCUCAUGUUCAAUCUAUCGCCAAAUCCUGUCAUUUCCAUCUCAAAAACAUUGCGCGCAUCCGCCCCUACUUAACGCCAGAUGCGACUAAGGUGUUGGUCCAUUCCACUGUCCUUUCUCGCCUUGACUACUGUAAUCCGCUUCUUAGUGGUCUUACGUGCUCCCAACUUGCGCCGUUACAGUCCAUAAUGAAUGCGGUGGCGAGGCUCAUCUUCUUGUCCGCCC